UCUCCGGUUGAGCUCUUGCUGUAAGAACACCAACCUGACCAGCAUCAUUUUUGUCGGUGCAUACGAAAAAUCUGUAGGUGAAGCCACGUUAUCCGGAGCCCCCUUUGCCUGACAGGGGCUUUACAAAGGAAGGUCAGUCACCAGGUACCCAUUACACAGACAAGGAAGCUGAGACUCGCGCAAAGCCUCUGGCAAAAGUGGAAACGAAACCUCGGGCUGUGAUCCUGCAUUAACUCCCUUCUGGAUCUGCCUGCCUGGAGCUCCUUACAGGCGAGCAGGCUGGGACCAGACCGGUGAAGACGUACUCUCUUCGUGCUUGCUGAUACGGCUGGUCCCCAAAAAAGCUGCUUCUCGCUGCUCCUGGCACCAGCCCAGACCUCUCCCACCGCAGGAUUCGAUUGUGGCAGGGCUCCGCACCCAGCUGCUGCUCUUCAGAGGUCUCGAGGAGGAGGAGAAGGCAAGAGGUAACUUUUAUUUGGGGAUUUCAGUGAGAGCCAAGCGCUCUCAUCAGCCUGGCCCCUAAUCUCAGGGUGCUCAGAGGAUGUCUACGCUGGCGGAUGAAAGCCGUCCAGGGACUGACCCGUCCUGACCGGCUGAUGGAGCAGGAUGGCCGUGUCCGCACUGCGAAGGAGGUGAUCCCCAGGCUCCUGCGGGCCCCCUUGUUUGCAAGGGCUCUCUCGCUCAGCUGGGAACCUGGAGAUCCGAGCCCAUGACCUGACCACUGAUUUACUCGGGGACUUUGUGCAUAGUGCUUGUCAGAUACUGAACUGCAGGUUCCAGUCCUACUGACCACCACCCGUGAGGAGAAGACCACCCAAAUUCCAGCAGGCUCUCCGCUGCUGCUCUGGAUGCAGGAGCUCUACAGCAGGGCAGCAAACGUGACAAAAAGCUGGCAGGCAGGACACGGUGA